rnacentral:lncRNA from 1 species
GGGAAAUAAUGAAUGAAGAAGAAAUAAAGGGUAGUUGCGGGAGGCCCUGAGCCUAAGGGGAGGGGCCUUAAGGAGGGCAAAGAGCAGCUCACCCGCUGAAGACGGGCAGCAGAGGUCAGAACCUCAGGGGGUGAGCUGCUGCUGGUGGGAGGGCCUCAAGGUCUUCAGCAGCAUGGCCUUGGCUUGCAGGCAGCGAACAGACGUCCAAAUCCCAAUGUUUCUUUGUUGAGCACGGGCUCACGCUGCAGCGGAACCCUCGGAGUAUGGGGUGGUGCCACGGGGAAGCCAUCUUACAGGAAGAGAAAGACAAGAUGGUGGAGGAAGCCGCUAGGAAAGCUCUUCUCUAUGGCUCAGUGUUCUGUAGAAGAUGGAAGUAAAAUGGGUGCGUGUGGACUCUGCCGUUAGCCUGCCUGGGACUUUGUCACCGUCAGUCACCGUGGCGACUGUGACAGCCUCUGAGACCAGUUAGGCCACAAGAACACAGCGGUCUCCCCAGCUCCCGCCCACCUUCAGAUGGCACUCAUUCACGCAGCAAAGUGGACGUGCCUGCCCAGACAGCCGGAGUGAAGAUAGUUCCUGGGCCCGAGGGAGAAAAGCCCCACCAUCUCUGGGACAUUGUCGCAGGCCUGGGGGAAUUCCAAGGUGAAAGUUCCAGAGGCGGGCUGCUCUGACCCACUGCUGUUUAAGGACACAGGUUCCUUGCAAGUCUUUGCUCUGUCCUCCGCCGUCGCUGACUCCCCGGAAUACUUGUCAUCUGCACGGUUGAAGGUGGUUAUGCGCACAUCCAAGUUCAAGGGGAACACGGCGAAUGGCUGUGAAGCCACUGCCCGUAUCUCAAGCCUGAGAGGUACCUGUGACUUACGUCUCUCUGUGUAUUCUCCUCUCUGCCAGCCAGCGUCUUCCGCCAAGAGUAGCCAGCAUUCUGGGCCUUGA